UUAACGCUGCUGAUUUUCGACCUGGAUUAAAGGAUAAGUGAGGAGGGGUCUCUCCCCUUCUGACUGACGGUGAGUAAGCUGCGAAACUUAUCAUUAACAGAAUAACCCGUAUGAUGAUGUUCCCUCAUAACCCUUUUCCCUGUU
rnacentral:sRNA from 1 species